UUUGAAAUCCAGACGGAGUUCAGGAAUCUGUAGAAAUUCAGAGAUACAUGGUUCUGCAUUUCAGUUGUAUACUAAAUUAACUUUUGCACAUUCCUGAAAAAAUGAGAUCCAGAAGUUAGUGAUUCACUAAUGGAUGAGGCUGAACAACACUGGAACAGUGUGGCUAACCUAGCAAUUUUGAAAACCUCUAUUAAAAACUGAAGCUUUGCUGCAAGAGGAACAAAGAACACCCUGAAUCUCUUGACUAACACAGACUGAGAAAUUUAUGAGGCUCCAAAUCACCAACCAUACAUAUGUACUAAUGAACAAUAGUUUAAUUUUUCUGGCCUAUAAAAUUUUGCCAACAAAGGACUUUACAUUUUAGAAGAUAUAAAUUUAGAACACAUUUGCAUAAAUCCAGCUGACUUUCCGUGUCUUUCG
rnacentral:lncRNA from 1 species